GGUCGGCUUGUUAUUUAUUUUCUUCCUUGCUUUGCAGGCUGUAUUGCUUAUUGCAUCGUACCUUGAUGUUCCUCUACGAUAUCCUUUGCGCUUGGGAGGCUCACGUUCAUAUAUUCAUGACUAUGCUCCUUCAGUUGAGUCUAUAUCAUCAGAUUACAAAGCCGUCUGAAUUCUAUCAAUUGAUAUUUUUCCUUAUUCAAUUAAGGUUCCAUGAUAAAAGAGUAUUUCAAGAUUACAUUUUCAUAUAUGCUUCAUCUUUCUAACUGAUUCAUGCAUAAUAAAAUCUGGUGGCCAAGUGGCACUUAUGGUUCAGUACUAAGAUGGUACAAUUUUCAUCAGAAGUUAAUUUUUAUUUCCCUACCUCUCCUAUCCCUCUUCCUCUACUCAAUUUUCUGAUAGGGUAUUAUUGGUUAAGCAGUUGAAAUCGAAGGUUGGUGAAGUGAUGUCCUCUCCUGCCAUCACUCUGUCACCUGACAAGACAGUUUUAGAUGCUGCAGCUUUGAUGCUUAAGAUGAAGAUCCAUAGGGUACCAAUCUUA